GGGUGAGUAACACGUGGAUAACCUACCUAUAAGACUGGGAUAACUUCGGGAAACCGGAGCUAAUACCGGAUAAUAUUUUGAACCGCAUGGUUCAAAAGUGAAAGACGGUCUUGCUGUCACUUAUAGAUGGAUCCGCGCUGCAUUAGCUAGUUGGUAAGGUAACGGCUUACCAAGGCAACGAUGCAUAGCCGACCUGAGAGGGUGAUCGGCCACACUGGAACUGAGACACGGUCCAG
rnacentral:rRNA from 1 species